CUCACACAAUCCUGGUGACAGCAUCCACUCAUACGCUAAGUAAGUGUUACAAUGGCAAUGACAAUGGGAAGCAAGGCCGUAAAGUAGAGCAAAUCCGGAAAGAUUACCUCAAUUCGAAUUGUUCUCUGCAACUCGAAAACAUGAAAAGUUGGAAUCGCUGGAUGAACAUGCCGCGGUGAAUAUGUACCUGGG
rnacentral:ncRNA from 1 species